AUCGAGUCCAGGUCAACCACGUGUCCUCCGUUUCCUCCCUUCGCAGCCGCACUCCUCCCCUCCCCUGAUUUGUCCGCGCCGCCCUGCCCUACCCCUCUCCCAUCCCCUCCACUGAAGCAAACGUGAGGCAGCCCCUUCCCGGUUGGAGGAGAAGCGGUGGCGGCACAGAUCGAUGGCGCCACCUCGAUUCCCAAAUUGUGGGCGGCGGUGUGUAUUGGCGGCGCUGGCAGCGGCAAAUCGCAGAAUCCAUUUCUGCAUCUCGGCAGCGAGCAGCGAUGUGCAGCCUUUUGGUGGCCUGUGGUGGUGUUCGUCGGAGUUGGUUUGUUGUGUUCAUGCUGGAGGAAUUCGGCAUAGCUGCAGCAGCCUGUUAGAUGAUGUGCGGAAAGCCAUGAGCAACAAGGAGACUGCGCGGUACCCCGUCCGGAAUGCCACCGUCAUACCCACCUCCACCCGACUCCCUCCACCAUGGUAGGAGGCAGACCCCAAUGAUCAACACCAAGUGCGAAGGCUGAGCAGCAGUUGUGGGGCGCGUGGAGGUGGUGCGCGACAGGCAAAGGAUAGCAGUGUAGAGGGACAACGAGGGGCGAUGUCCCCUUUGAGGGUGGCAAACAAAAAACCUAUACUUGUAUGAUGGCUUGGCGUUUGUUGAUUACCAUUUGGAUGCAGUGCGUAUAAGCUUUUAUAGAUACAUGAUAUGAUAGAAUAUAUGUUUGAUUCAGUUUUUACUGAUUUGAAGAUUGCAGGUUUAUAUGUGAUCC